UAGCCUGAGAUGUGAUGCCGAGCCGAUUGUGGUGAAGUGGAUGAUCCUAUGCUGCCGAGAAAAGCCUCUAGUGAGUGUUGUGGCGGCCCGUACCCUAAACCGACUCAGGUGGUCAGGUAGAGAAUACCAAGGCGAUCGGGUGAACUGUGGUUAAGGAACUCGGCAAAUUGCCCCCGUAACUUCGGGAGAAGGGGGACCUCUGCUGGUGAUGGGCUUUACGUUCUGAGCUGGUGGGGGUCGCAGUGGCCAGGGGGAAGCGACUGUUUACUAAAAACACAGGUCCGUGCGAAGUCGUAAGACGAUGUAUACGGACUGACGCCUGCCCGGUGCCGGAACGUUAAGGGGACCGCUUAGCCAACGCGAGUUGGCGAAGGUGAGAACUUAAGCGCCGGUAAACGGCGGUGGUAACUAUAACCAUCCUAAGGUAGCGAAAUUCCUUGUCGGGUAAGUUCCGACCUGCACGAAUGGCGUAACGACUUCCCCGCUGUCUCAACCACAGACCCGGCGAAAUUGCACUACGAGUAAAGAUGCUCGUUUCGCGCAGCAGGACGGAAAGACCCCGGGACCUUCACUACAGCUUGACAUUGGCGUUUGGAACGUCUUGUGUAGGAUAGGUGGGAGACUGGGAAGCUGUCACGCUAGUGAUGGUGGAGACAUUGGUGAAAUACCACUCUGGUCGUUUUGAACGUCUAACUCUGGUCCGUGAUCCGGAUCGGGGACAGUGUCUGGUGGGUAGUUUAACUGGGGCGGUUGCCUCCUAAAGAGUAACGGAGGCGCCCAAAGGUUCCCUCAGCCUGGUUGGCAAUCAGGUGUUGAGUGUAAGUGCACAAGGGAGCUUGACUGUGAGACUGACAGGUCGAGCAGGAGCGAAAGCUGGGACUAGUGAUCCGGCAUCGGCGUGUGGAAGCGGUGUCGCUCAACGGCUAAAAGGUACCCCGGGGAUAACAGGCUGAUCUUCCCCAAGAGUCCAUAUCGACGGGAUGGUUUGGCACCUCGAUGUCGGCUCGUCGCAUCCUGGGGCUGGAGUAGGUCCCAAGGGUUGGGCUGUUCGCCCAUUAAAGCGGUACGCGAGCUGGGUUUAGAACGUCGCGAGACAGUUCGGUCCCUAUCCGCUGCGCGCGCAGGAGACUUGAAGGGGGCUGUCCCUAGUACGAGAGGACCGGGACGGACGAACCUCUGGUGUGCCAGUUGUACCGCCAGGUGUACGGCUGGUUGGCUACGUUCGGAAGGGAUAACCGCUGAAAGCAUCUAAGCGGGAAGCUCGCCUUGAGAUGAGGUCUCCCACCCCGUGAGGGGGUAAGGCUCCCGGUAGAUCACCGGGUUGAUAGGCCGGAGGUGGAAGCACGGUAACGUGUGGAGCUGACCGGUACUAAUAGGCCGAGGACUUGACCAC
rnacentral:rRNA from 1 species